AGUAAGAAUUACAUCCAAAAGUGCAAGAAAAUAUUCAACAAAAUAUGGGUACACAAAUCAUGCAAUCAUCUCUCACUCAUGCAAAAUUUGAACUUAAACAAAAUUUUGCGCGAGAAACAUAAGACAAAUCAGCAUGUCAACUGAAGCAGGUUGGAGGUUGCAGAUCACGCAUGCACGGUUCACAGUUGCACUGCAUCAAUCAACAUGCUGAUUUGUCUUUAUUUUCUCCUUUCACAAAUACUAUGUGUUAAGAAGAUUGGUGAAGGAUGCCUUGACUAAUUGGAGUUGGGUUUAAGAUGUUCAGGGAGCUCUUUCCUAUGCUUUUUGGGUGCAGUUUUUGGAUUUGGCUGAGCUUUUGGAAGAUACCUUGCUGCAGCCCAAUGUGCAAGAUCGUCAUGUUUGGAGGUUUUCUAGUUCCGGGGAUUAUUCUUCAAAGUCCGCUUACUGUGUUAUGUUUCAUGGCUCGGUGUUUUUCAAGCAGGCUGAUCGAAUUUGGAAGACUUGGGCCCCUAGCAAAUGUCGGUUUUUUCUUUGGCUUAUGGCUCACAACAAAUGUUGGACAGCAGAUAGAUUGGCCAAACGAGGAUUGACUCAGUCGCUUCUUUGUCCGUUCUGUGAUCAACAUGUUGAGACUAUCAACCAUCUGCUGGUGGGCUGCUCCUUUGCGCGGCAUUUCUGGUUUGAGUUGCUAAGGUCUUUUGGUUUACAGGACUUCUCUCCUGGACAGGACAUUGAUGAUUUUGAUCAUUGGUGGUGUUCCAAUAGUGCUCGGUUGGGUGGUCUGAGUAAGAAGGGCUUUGACUCUUUGGUCGCUUUAGGCGCUUGGAUGUUAUGGAAGCAUAGAAAUGGUGUUGUCUUCAAUGGCUCCCACCCAAACUUGGUGGUGGCCAUUCGGCUGGCCAGGGAGGAAGCUCUCUUGUGGUCUUUGGCUGGGGCUAAAGGUUUUUCUUACCUCCUAGCUCAAAGUCGGGUGGUUUAGUUUUUCUCUGUUUUAGUCUUGGGAUGGCUGUCAGCUGACAGACGCUCUGUCCCUGCCCUGCUCCAGGUGGGGUUCUGUGUGUGUGUGUGUUUAGGUGUGUGUGUGUUUGUGUGUGUUUAUGUGUGGGUUGUACUGUCUGUUCGGGGUUCUUUUUCCCCUUUUCUUCUUAAUAUAUUGAUGCGCAGCUCUCCUGCGUGUUCGAGAAAAAAAAGCUAAAAAAUUUGUGCGAAUAUGGAUGAUUGCAUGAUCUAUACAUCAUCAUUGUUGUUAGAAACUUUCCUGCACUUUUAGAUGUAAUUUUUAUUCAGGGGAAGCACAGGAACACCUAAAGAGGUGGGUGCAGUGCAUAUUCUCUCGUAACUAUACAUAUCAGUUCAAUGCAACAACUAAUGAACAGUACCCCUUACAUAUAUGUAAAGUCUAAACUCUAAAGAACAUAAUUCAGCAUGUCCAUUAGCUGAAUAACAAGGAUAUUGC
rnacentral:lncRNA from 1 species